AUUGAACGCUGGCGGCAUGCCUUACACAUGCAAGUCGAACGGCAGCACGGGUGCUUGCACCUGGUGGCGAGUGGCGAACGGGUGAGUAAUACAUCGGAACAUGUCCUGUAGUGGGGGAUAGCCCGGCGAAAGCCGGAUUAAUACCGCAUACGAUCUACGGAUGAAAGCGGGGGACCUUCGGGCCUCGCGCUAUAGGGUUGGCCGAUGGCUGAUUAGCUAGUUGGUGGGGUAAAGGCCUACCAAGGCGACGAUCAGUAGCUGGUCUGAGAGGACGACCAGCCACACUGGAACUGAGACACGGCCCAGACUCCUACGGGAGGCAGCAGUGGGGAAUGUUGGACAAUGGGCGAAAGCCUGAUCCAGCAAUGCCGCGUGUGUGAAGAAGGCCUUCGGGUUGUAAAGCACUUUUGUCCGGAAAGAAAUCCUUGGCCCUAAUACGGUCGGGGGAUGACGGUACCGGAAGAAUAAGCACCGGCUAACUACGUG
rnacentral:rRNA from 1 species